rnacentral:rRNA from 1 species
UAGGGAAUCUUCGGCAAUGGGGGGAACCCUGACCGAGCAACGCCGCGUGAGUGAAGAAGGAUUUCGGUUCGUAAAACUCUGUUGUUAGAGAAGAACAGCGCAUAGAGUAACUGUUAUGCGUGUGACGGUAUCUAACCAGAAAGCCACGGCUAACUACGUGCCAGCAGCCGCGGUAAUACGUAGGUGGCAAGCGUUGUCCGGAUUUAUUGGGCGUAAAGCGAGCGCAGGCGGUCAAUUAAGUCUGAUGUGAAAGCCCCCGGCUCAACCGGGGAGGGUCAUUGGAAACUGGUUGACUUGAGUGCAGAAGAGGAGGGUGGAAUUCCAUGUGUAGCGGUGAAAUGCGUAGAUAUAUGGAGGAACACCAGUGGCGAAGGCGACUCUCUGGUCUGUAACUGACGCUGAGGCUCGAAAGCGUGGGUAGCAAACAGG